rnacentral:rRNA from 1 species
UACGAAGGGGGCUAGCGUUGCUCGGAAUGACUGGGCGUAAAGGGCGCGUAGGCGGAUGGCACAGUCAGAUGUGAAAUUCCCGGGCUUAACCUGGGGGCUGCAUUUGAUACGUGUGAUCUAGAGUGAGGAAGAGGGUCGUGGAAUUCCCAGUGUAGAGGUGAAAUUCGUAGAUAUUGGGAAGAACACCGGUGGCGAAGGCGGCGACCUGGUCCUUGACUGACGCUGAGGCGCGAAAAGCGUGGGGGAGCAAACAGGG